CCUACGGGAGGCAGCAGUGGGGAAUAUUGCACAAUGGGGGAAACCCUGAUGCAGCGACGCCGCGUGAAGGAAGAAGUACUUCGGUAUGUAAACUUCUAUCAGCAGGGAAGAAAAUGACGGUACCUGACUAAGAAGCCCCGGCUAACUACGUGCCAGCAGCCGCGGUAAUACGUAGGGGGCAAGCGUUAUCCGGAUUUACUGGGUGUAAAGGGAGCGUAGGCGGGUUAGCAAGUCAGAAGUGAAAGCCCGGGGCUCAACUCCGGGACUGCUUUUGAAACUGUUGAACUAGAGUGCAGGAGAGGUAAGUGGAAUUCCUAGUGUAGCGGUGAAAUGCGUAGAUAUUAGGAGGAACACCAGUGGCGAAGGCGGCUUACUGGACCUUAAAUGACGCUGAGGCUCGAAAGCGUGGGGAGCAAACAGGAUUAGAUACCCUGGUAGUC
rnacentral:rRNA from 1 species